AUCACUUGGGAAUCUUGUUAAAAUGAAGAUUCUCUUUCUGUAGGUCUGUUGUGGAGCCUGAGGUUCUGCAUUUCUAACAAGCUCCCAAGUGAGAUGCA
rnacentral:pre_miRNA from 1 species